rnacentral:rRNA from 1 species
UCCUGGCUCAGAACGAACGCUGGCGGCAUGCCUAACACAUGCAAGUCGAACGAGACCUUCGGGUCUAGUGGCGCACGGGUGCGUAACGCGUGGGAAUCUGCCCCUUGGUUCGGAAUAACACAGAGAAAUUUGUGCUAAUACCGGAUGACGACGAAAGUCCAAAGAUUUAUCGCCGAGGGAUGAGCCCGCGUAAGAUUAGGUAGUUGGUGGGGUAAAGGCCUACCAAGCCGACGAUCUUUAGCUGGUCUGAGAGGACGACCAGCCACACUGGGACUGAGACACGGCCCAGACUCCUACGGGAGGCAGCAGUGGGGAAUUUUGGACAAUGGGCGCAAGCCUGAUUCAGCAAUGCCGCGUGCAGGAAGAAGGCCUUCGGGUUGUAAACUGCUUUUGUACGGAACGAAAAGGUCUGGGUUAAUACCCUGGGCUCAUGACGGUACCGUAAGAAUAAGCACCGGCUAACUACGUG